rfam:TPA: Bos taurus chromosome X, whole genome shotgun sequence.
GUGUACAGUGCCUUUCAUAGGAAGGUGUCAUUCAUGUGGUCUACAAUUUGAAUGCCACUUUUUUGUGAAGAGUAAUGUACAA